rnacentral:rRNA from 1 species
UGAACGCUGGCGGCAGGCCUAACACAUGCAAGUCGAACGGUAACAGGAAGAAGCUUGCUUCUUUGCUGACGAGUGGCGGACGGGUGAGUAAUGUCUGGGAAACUGCCUGAUGGAGGGGGAUAACUACUGGAAACGGUAGCUAAUACCGCAUAACGUCGCAAGACCAAAGAGGGGGACCUUCGGGCCUCUUGCCCUCGGAUGUGCCCAGAUGGGAUUAGCUUGUUGGUGGGGUAACGGCUCACCAAGGCGACGAUCCCUAGCUGGUCUGAGAGGAUGACCAGCCACACUGGAACUGAGACACGGUCCAGACUCCUACGGGAGGCAGCAGUGGGGAAUAUUGCACAAUGGGCGCAAGCCUGAUGCAGCCAUGCCGCGUGUAUGAAGAAGGCCUUCGGGUUGUAAAGUACUUUCAGCGGGGAGGAAGGGAGUAAAGUUAAUACCUUUGCUCAUUGACGUUACCCGCAGAAGAAGCACCGGCUAACUCCGUG